UACAGAGGGUGCAAGCGUUAAUCGGAAUUACUGGGCGUAAAGGGCGCGUAGGCGGCUAUUUAAGUUGGAUGUGAAACCCCUGGGCUCAACCUAGGACGUGCAUACAAGACUGGAUAGCUAGAGUACUGUAGAGGGUAGUGGAAUUUCCGGUGUAGCGGUGAAAUGCGUAGAGAUCGGAAGGAACACCAGUGGCGAAGGCGGCUACCUGGACAGAUACUGACGCUGAGGCGCGAGAGCGUGGGGAGCAAACAG
rnacentral:rRNA from 1 species